ACAAUUUGAGUCAUUACAGUAAAACAUGGAUUAUAAGUGAAUUAUACGCGUAAGAGAAGAUUUUCUGUCGAAAAAACUAAUGUCAACAAUCAGCAUGGAAUUGGGAUAUUCGUAUCAAAGGGCUAUUCAUGCAGGAAAAGGACUGAAUAUUACUAUUAUAUGAAGAAUUCCAGCCUGCAUUAAAUACUUUGUUGGAUCAUUGAGACAGAUUUGACAUCCAUGUCUAUCCACAUCUGAUAGAGAUGAUCACUAAACAUUCUAGAUGGGUAAAGACCUGUUAAAUCAGCAUUGACUCAGCAUUGAGUAAUUUUCAUCUGUGCAGACACAACAAGUACAAACGCAUGGGAACAAACCAAACUUCAAAUGUUGAAGAGUGAAGAAUUAUUGUGAAAAGUUCUAAAUGUUAGAAUACCAUUGACUAAAUAAAACAAAUAGACAUCGAUUACCAGCAGAGACUGUUUACAUGUUAUAAUAUUAAAAAGACAUUAGUUGAGAACUUUCACUCUGACAUUUUUGGAGGGGCA